GUCUCAGUUCGGAUUGCAGGCUGCAACUCGCCUGUAUGAAGUCGGAAUUGCUAGUAAUCGCGGAUCAGCAUGCCGCGGUGAAUACGUUCCCGGGCCUUGUACACACCGCCCGUCACACCAUGAGAGCCGGGAACACCCGAAGUCCGUAGUCUAACCGUAAGGAGGACGCGGCCGAAGGUGGGUUUGGUAAUUGGGGUGAAGUCGUAACAAGGUAUC
rnacentral:rRNA from 1 species